rnacentral:rRNA from 1 species
UACGUAGGGUGCAAGCGUUAAUCGGAAUACUGGGCGUAAAGCGUGCGCAGGCGGUUAUAUAAGACAGUUGUGAAAUCCCCGGGCUCAACCCUGGGAACUGGCAUCUGUGACUGUAUAGCUAGAGUACGGUAGAGGGGGAUGGAAUUCCGCGUGUAGCAGUGAAAUGCGUAGAUAUGCGGAGGAACACCGAUGGCGAAGGCAAUCCCCUGGACCUGUACUGACGCUCAUGCACGAAAGCGUGGGGAGCAAACAGGA